rnacentral:rRNA from 1 species
GAUGAACGCUGGCGGCGUGCCUAAUACAUGCAAGUCGAGCGAACAGACGAGGAGCUUGCUCCUCUGACGUUAGCGGCGGACGGGUGAGUAACACGUGGAUAACCUACCUAUAAGACUGGGAUAACUUCGGGAAACCGGAGCUAAUACCGGAUAAUAUAUUGAACCGCAUGGUUCAAUAGUGAAAGACGGUUUUGCUGUCACUUAUAGAUGGAUCCGCGCCGCAUUAGCUAGUUGGUAAGGUAACGGCUUACCAAGGCAGCGAUGCGUAGCCGACCUGAGAGGGUGAUCGGCCACACUGGAACUGAGACACGGUCCAGACUCCUACGGGAGGCAGCAGUAGGGAAUCUUCCGCAAUGGGCGAAAGCCUGACGGAGCAACGCCGCGUGAGUGAUGAAGGUCUUCGGAUCGUAAAACUCUGUUAUUAGGGAAGAACAAAUGUGUAAGUAACUAUGCACGUCUUGACGGUACCUAAUCAGAAAGCCACGGCUAACUACGUA